rnacentral:rRNA from 1 species
UACAGAGGUCUCAAGCGUUGUUCGGAUUCAUUGGGCGUAAAGGGUGCGUAGGUGGCGCGCUAAGUCAGGUGUGAAAUUUCGGAGCUUAACUCCGAAACUGCAUUUGAUACUGCCGUGCUUGAGGACUGGAGAGGAGACUGGAAUUUACGGUGUAGCGGUGAAAUGCGUAGAUAUCGUAAGGAAGACCAGUGGCGAAGGCGGGUCUCUGGACAGGUUCCUGACGCUGAGGCACGAAGGCCAGGGGAGCAAACGGG